rnacentral:rRNA from 1 species
UACGUAGGGGGCGAGCGUUGUCCGGAAUUAUUGGGCGUAAAGAGCGUGUAGGCGGCUCGGUAAGUUCGCUGUGAAAUCUUGGGGCUCAACCCUGAGCGGGCGGCGGAUACUACCGGGCUAGAGGGUGGUAGAGGCGAGUGGAAUUCCGAGUGGAGCGGUGAAAUGCGCAGAUAUUCGGAGGAACACCAGUAGCGAAGGCGGCUCGCUGGGCCACACCUGACGCUGAGACGCGAAAGCUUGGGGAGCGAACAGG